rnacentral:lncRNA from 1 species
CAGAACGACCUGCUAAUAUAAAAAUGGUGUCCUUGUAAAAGGCAAAACAACUGCAAAGCUGGGCAAUCUUUAAUUGCUCAAGCUGGAGAUGAAAUUGUAUUAGGAAGAAAAGUGAAGAACACAGAUACAUUACCACACCAGAAUCAGAUUAUUAGCCAACUUAAUUCAACUUAUCACCAACAUUAGAAGAACACAGAUACAUCUGCUGCCACACCAGGAUCAGAUUAUUAGCCAACUUAAGUCAACCAAUCACCAACAUUACCUCUAUAAAGAGUUAGGGCCACAAUACAAAACGAGGGAAAGGG